AUGGGUCAACGGAGGUGUCCAGGUCCGCUCCACUGGGCGGCUCGGAUGGCUGUAGCAGAGGCGAAGACAGGCGGGCCCGUGGGGUGGCUCCGGGCGAUUCAGAACAACGGCGGAAUAGAGCGCCUCGAGGCGAGGACGCAGGCUCGGACGAUGGACCAGUCCGAGUCGUGGCCGGCUAUGUUUAUAGAUACGAGCCGGCGGCCGCGGGUAAACCGGUGUUCGAGUACAGCAGCCAGUGCGCCCCGGCGGGUCAACGGCGCAGGUGAACUGGGCGGGUCCACGGAGAAGGCGAGCUACUGGCUCAGGGGUGCAGUCACAGCUACAGCACAAACAGGGAUCGCGUCGGCAUCAGGGUCCGAGUCCCUGCGGCCCGAUCCUCCUCCGGGUCGUGGCCAGCUCCUGUCGCGGCUCGAAGACCGAUGCAGCGAAGGAAGGUGUGGCAAAGGAGAGUCGGGGCCGGUGACAUGA
rnacentral:rRNA from 1 species